rnacentral:tRNA from 1 species
GCGCGAGUGGCGGAAUCGGCAGACGCGCCAGGUUUAGGUCCUGGUGCCCACUGGGCGUGCGGGUUCAAGUCCCGCCUCGCGCA